ACAAUUGUUUGGAUAUCGGACCAUGUGGCAAGUUCUCAAACAAAAACACAAGCUGCGUGUCAAGCGUGAUGUAGUUAUGAGGCUGUUGAGACAACUAAAUCCUCAAGGAAUCGCUUUGAGAACUCGAAGGAGGUUCACAAGACGCACGUAUCACUCCAUGGGGCCCAAUUACAUAUGGCAUGUAGAUGGCUAUGAUAAACUGAAACCCUGUCAGGAUGUAUAGAUGGCUUUUCAAGAAGACUGAUGUGGCUUGUGUGUGGAGCAACAAACAACAACCCGGCUGUUAUAGCUCACAAUUAUAUAAACUGUGUAAAGAGUCUUGGUGUGAUACCAAUGAGAUUACGAACAGACUUCGGGACUGAGAAUGGGACUAUGGCAGCAAUACAGUGUACCCUCCGUCACACGCACACGGACUAUUAUGCUGGAUCGUCAAGCCACAGUUAUGGAUCAUCUACUGGGAAUCAGCGCAUCGAGUCAUGGUGGUCUUAUUUCAGAAGAGGAAGGUGGGUACAUUUGUGUCUGGUAGGUGUAAGCUACAGUGAAAGCUGAUCAGAUUGUUGUUUUUUUUACAUGCAUUUAAGAAAAUAGAGUAGCGUCCUGCUGGAUGUGUUGAAAAGUUGGAUGAGAUAGACGUUAACAGCCGUCACUUUAUUGCAGGAACUCAAAAUGGUCAUUGUCAGCUGUUGUGCCGAAAUGAGCAUGCUUGCCUAGAUUUAACGACGCCAAUACAAAAUGAAAAACUCAGACCAAACUCUCCACUCCUCACAAUCAACACACAGAACAGAGUGAAAAGAAUACAGCAUUUUUAACAAGAACAUUACUGCAGGGUCGCUACAAUAUUUAUGGAAAACUAAUAUGCAUUACUUUGUUUGACAUCCAUUUGUGGCAUGUUUUAAAUGGGACCAAAAUGUAACAAACCCUAUAAAAUGACCAAGAACAAAGCUAAAUUGAUUCUUAAAUAUUAAUUAUAUACCCAGGUCUCAGUUUUGGAUGGACUGUUUUGGAGACCUAAGAGACUCUGGAAACUUCAAUGGAAGCCACGAACGCCAAUGCUUGCUGAGAUUCUGCUUCACAGGGGUUCUACAGAAAGACCUGGAUGAAUGCAAAGACCUCUGGAACAAACACAGGAUCCGGCCAAGCAGACUUGCAUCGUGUCCAGGGGGGAUUCCAAACAAACUCUCUCUUGCCUCACAGAUAUGGUUCAAGAGACUGUGGAUUUGCUGUUGAGGAGAGGGAACUGGAUGCGUUUCCCGAGGAGGGGCUACUGGUUGGAUUGUGUGGUGAUCCAAACAUUGGGGAAUAUUUACAACAGGCUGUACAACAAAACACACUGCAGCAGCCACAAGACUGGGAAUCGGCCACAGAACUGUAUUUGGCCCUGAAGGACAUAGCUGGGUUUUAAAUACCAACUGAACUUCAGUUUGUAAUGACAUUUGUCAGAGUUACUCUGACGAAGACACACAUGGUGUCGAAACGUUAGUUUCUUUCCUUUUUUUGCACCUAAUAAAACCUUUGGACUUA